rnacentral:rRNA from 1 species
UACGGAGGAUGCGAGCGUUAUCCGGAUUUAUUGGGUUUAAAGGGUGCGUAGGUUGUUUUUUAAGUCAGCGGUGAAAGUUUGUGGCUCAACCAUAAAAUUGCCGUUGAAACUGGAAGACUUGAGUGUGUUUGAGGUAGGCGGAAUGCGUGGUGUAGCGGUGAAAUGCAUAGAUAUCACGCAGAACUCCGAUUGCGAAGGCAGCUUACCAGACUGUUACUGACGCUGAAGCACGAGAGCGUGGGUAGCGAACAGG